CUACAAGUGUGACAUCAGCGGUCAUGGAGAGUCUCCAUCCAGCUGGAUCACUGUCACAGAAAAACAUACUACCACACCUCCACCCUCCUCUACACCACCUCUCACUCCAUCAACUCCACGUCCUGACUUGUUAUCACUUGUAUUUAUCCACCUGGUGGUGUUCUGUCCAUACUUUAUCUCCACUCUCCUCGUGGUGUCUUUAUGUCGACAGUGAACUAAAGGAAAAAACAUUUGUGUGUCAAUCCAGCCCACUCAUCCUGAUCAGGGACUUGAUGAGCAUUAUGAUGUCAUUUGUGAUGUCACCACAGAGUAUCACUUCUGAAUCAGAGCUCUGUUGUGUCUCUGUGAGUUACACUAACUUUGUAAUCUCCAUCUCUGAUGUGGAGAUUAUUUAAAUAAAUGGACUCUGAUGUUCAUCUCUCAACAAUUUUUCUGUAAAUAACCAGCAAAUAUUCCUGCUCAGAGUAGAAGAUCAAUCAUGUACUGUAUGUGCACCACUGCAGCUCUGUCACUGAGUAUUGUACAAACCAUUAAAUUUAUUUCUUUUUCUGACCUGUCUUCCCAGUGUGAUGUUUGUGCAAUGUAUGUAUGCACCAUUUGUGCUUAGGAUGCUGCGCAACUCAAAGAAUGAAGGAAAAUUGCACUCCAAAAUUUUGAUUGUAAGAUAAUUACAAAAAUCCUAGAUUGAAUAAUCAUUUGGCAUCUAUUAUUCAUCCUGACCAGACGGAGUUCAUCCCUGGCAGACUUUCCUUUUUCAACGGCGAUUACUCAAUAUAAUCUAUUCCGACUACAAAAAUUAUAAGGGAGCCUCUCUUUUGGCCCUGGAUGCACAUAAAGCUUUUGAUCAGGUCAAGUGGCCCUACAUGUUUGAGUCACUGCGCAGAUUUGGAUUUCGUGUAUCUUUCAUUUAGUAGGUGAAAUUGAUUUACACAGAACCAAUGUGCUCCAUCUUGACAAAUAACAAUCGGUCUGGUCCAUUCCUUCUGCAGCGCUCGAUGCAACAGAGCUGUCCACUAUCCCCAGCACUCUUUGCCAUCAUGUUGGAGCCUCUCACUGUGGCCAUAAGACAACAUCCAGACAUGAAGGGGCUCCUUGAUCAUAUCUGUCGGUAAACUAUCAGGAUAUACAAUCAACUGGUCAAAGAGUGAGUUUAUGCCUCUUUCCAAUAAUAGCUCGCCAGAAUUUCUGCUGUAAGUUCCAUUUAAGGUAGUUAGGAAUCAUCUAGCCUACCUUGGCCUGAUCAUACAUAAAGAUCCUAAAUUAUUAUUUAAAUUGAAUUUCACUGAGUAUGUGUCAGGGCUAAAGCAAAGCAUUGAAUAUUAAAUAUUGGAAAACACUGACCUUGUCAAUGUUUGGACGCAUCAAUUUAAUCAAGAUGAUUUCUCUCCCCAAAUUUUUAUAUUUGUGUCAAAAUCUUCCCAUUUAUCCCAUUCCCAUUAUCAUACUGCUGGGAUUAGGCAGGCUUGGGAGAAUGAAUCGGGGAUGAAGGUGCCUGAAUCUAUGUGGAGUAAGUGUCUGUCUAAAAUCCAUUCUUGCUCCAUAGACGCCAAUUAAUUCAAUUUAAAAUCCUUCACCGAUUGCACUACUCUAACGUCAGACUGCACAAGAUUUAUCCUUCUAUCUCCCCAAUGUGUGGCAGGUGUAGAUAGGCAGAAGGUAUGUUGUUCCAUGCCUUUUGGUUUUGUCCCUCAUUAACAAACUUUUGGUUUAAAAUAUUUGACUGGUACUCCAGGGCAUAUAUGAAACCUCUACAGCCUGAACCUGAACUUGUAAUUUUUGGAUGUUCUCCAGCGUCAGAGGUACUCCCGGUUACCGUGCAGCGGCCAUUGGAACUAGGUUUGAUUGCUGCCAAGAGGGAAUGGAAGUCCCCCUCUCGCACUUCCUUUCAAUUGUGGGUAACAGACAUUAUGUCCAUAAUACAAAUGGAAAAGUUCAGCAAAGACUCAAAAGAUUCUGUUCUGAAUGUCUGGAACACCUUCUUGGAACACUUUGCAAGGACCAGAUUGGACUGGACCCAGAUUUGUAAACUCUCAUCAACUCCAGCUUUUGGUACUCUAUCCUGUGGUGUUUUGUGAAGUGCAUGUUUGUCUGAAUUCAUUGUUUUUUCUGUAACACAUCUGAGCCGGUUUGUUUUUGUUUUAUAUUUUUAAAAUCUAAAAUAAAGUUAUCAAAAAAACAAAACAAAACAUUGCAUGUGUUGGAAUUUAUAUUUUUUAUAUUGUCACUUGUGCUAAAAUAUAUAGAUAUAUAAUCAUUGCCUUUAUGUGUCCUAAUAUGCCUGUCAUUAUGAAGAAAAAGCCAGACAGUCAGAGGAUUUAUUUUCAACCUUCUAAUAUUUCCUUUAUCUGUGUCUGUGCUGACAAAAUGUGAUUUCUUUAUUUAGAGUGCAGCUUAGUCCAGAGAUGAGCUAUGUUAUACAUUUGGAAAGCACCAUGUUCUGUUCAGACUUCACACCUUUAAAUGUGCAUUUGAGAUAUGACCUAUUGCAAGUUCAUGUUUUUAUAGUUUAGCAAGAUGCUUAUUUCUGCUUUUCUG